rnacentral:rRNA from 1 species
GUGCCAGCCGCCGCGGUAAUACGGGGGGUGCAAGCGUUAUUCGGAAUCAUUGGGCGUAAAGAGCACGUAGGCGGCCUGGUAAGUCAGAUGUGAAAGCCCGGGGCUUAACCCCGGAAGUGCAUUUGAUACUGUCAGGCUUGAGUAUGGGAGAGGGAAGUGGAAUUCCUGGUGUAGAGGUGAAAUUCGUAGAUAUCAGGAGGAACACCGGUGGCGAAGGCGGCUUCCUGGACCAAUACUGACGCUGAGGUGCGAAGGCGUGGGUAGCAAACAGGAUUAGAUACCCUGGUAGUCC